rnacentral:lncRNA from 1 species
CCCGGGCCGCAGCCAGCGGCGCCCCUCCGGCGGCCGCGCUCCGCGGCGGCUUGUGCCGAGCUGCGAGACGGGGCCGGGCGGGAGGGAAGGGAAGGGAAGGAGGUGCCCCCCGCCCCGCAUCCACGCCGCUGCCGUGCACUGGAGCCUGCCUGCUGGUGAUCUCGGCAAAUAUGUUCAACUAUUCAAUCCAUUCUGAGCAACAGAUAUUAGAAGAGUUCUGGAUGGAAAGCUUAAAGCAAGUGAAGAAAAAACUUACAGUUAGGUUCACAAAAAGAAAGCUGAUUCCAAGAAUGCUCAGAUCAAACGACUAGUUUCUACAGAAUACAGCCACCGGUUCUCUUCCUCUCACCAGAACCACCCCCCCCAAAAAAAAAGAAAAAGAAAAAGGAAAAAAAACAACACACACAGCCCAAUUGAAAAGACAAGAAGGACAUACGCAAGUCAUGAAUAUCUUAGAUGAUGCUAUGCGAACUUGAGUAAUUGGAGGUAAUAGGAAAACUAAAAGCCACAACCUCAC